UCUGGUGGAAAUUGCGGAGGGGACACACCCGUUCCCAUUCCGAACACGGCGUUUGCUACCUAACCUGCAAACCCGAUGUUUAACUAAUGGAUAAGGUAAAACUCUUUAACAGAGUUAACUACAGUAACUCCGCUCGUUAAACUCGCUGGGUUAGGCCUGCCGUUAAGCCCUCCAGCGCCGAUGGUACUUGGGACGUUGGUCCCCGGGAGAGUAGGUCUCCGCCAGAC
rnacentral:rRNA from 1 species